GUCUGUAGCCAUACCACCCUGAACGUGCCUGGUCUCGUCUGAUCUCAGAAGCUAAGCAGGGUUGGGUCAGGUUAGUACUUUGAUGGGGGACAUAGGGUGAAGUAAAUAGCUGCUACCU
rnacentral:rRNA from 1 species